rnacentral:rRNA from 1 species
UUGCGGCUGGGACUUGGCGAUUGCGAUCUUUGAUUUAGGUUCAAUUCUGGACUUUCCUCGAAGAGCAUGACUCACUUUGGCCCUCGCGUCGAUGUCACUGACGGCUUCCCAUUUCCCGUCCACUUGCUUUAGGAAUCUUCCCACAUGUUUCCCAUCAGUUUUUUAUUAUCUUGACGACAUCCUCAGCAAUCGCAGUCUUUUCGUGCCUUCGAGCCUGGGUGUAGUUUGGCUUGUAAACGUUCACAAUACUGUGCAAGCGCAAGUUACCUGGAUGAUCUUGAAAUGGCUUUCCUCGACCAAACAGAACAUCAUACUCGUUUGGCUGAAUCUCGUCCCCAGUGGUGUCAGACUUCCAAGAAAAGCUCGCAAUGUCUUAAAUAAAUAAUGCCUGUACCAUAACCGACACAGGUGGGUAGGUAGAGUAUACUAAGGGGCGCGAGAUAACUCUCUCUAAGGAACUCGGCAAAAUGACUCCGUAACUUCGGGAGAAGGAGUGCCUUAUUUAUAAGGUUGCAAUAACAAGAUCCAAGCAACUGUUUACCAAAAACACAGGUCUCCGCUAAGUCGUAAGACGAUGUAUGGGGGCUGACGCCUGCCCAGUGCCAGAAGGUUAAAGAAGUUGGUUAGCAUUCGCGAAGCUGAUAACUGAAGCCCUGGUGAACGGCGGCCGUAACUAUAACGGUCCUAAGGUAGCGAAAUUCCUUGUCGGGUAAGUUCCGACCCGCACGAAAGGCGUAAUGAUUUGGAUACUGUCUCGGAGAGGGGCUCGGUGAAAUAGACUUGUCUGUGAAGAUGCGGACUACCUGCACCUGGACAGAAAGACCCUAUGAAGCUUUACUGUAACUUGAAAUUGAAAUUGGACUUUAUUUGCGCAGUAUAGGUGGGAGGCGUUGAGUUAAUUCUUGCGGGAAUUUAGGAGCCAUCAGUGAGAUACCACUCUGGUAAUGUUAGUAUUUCUAACUUUGUAUCAUAAUCUGGUACAAAGAACUAGUUUCAGGGCGGGCUAGUUUGACUGGGGCGGUCGCCUCCCAAAUGGUAACGGAGGCGUACAAAGGUUUCCUCUGAACGUGUAGAAAUCGUAUCUAGAGUGUAAAGGCAUAAGGAAGCUUGACUGUGAGACUUACAAGUCGAGCAGGGACGAAAGUCGGUCUUAGUGAUCUGACGGUGCUGAGUGGAAAGGCCGUCACUCAACGGAUAAAAGUUACUCUAAGGAUAACAGGCUGAUCUCCCCCAAGAGUUCACAUCGACGGGGAGGUUUGGCACCUCGAUGUCGGCUCAUCGCAUCCUGGGGCGGUAGUACGUCCCAAGGGUUGGGCUGUUCGCCCAUGAAAGCGGUACGCGAGCUGGGUUCAGAACGUCGUGAGACAGUUCGGUCCAUAUCCGGUGUAGGCGUUAGAAUAUUGAGAGGAGCCUUCUUUAGUACGAGAGGACCGAGAAGGACAUACCUCUGGUGUACCAGUUAUCAUGCCAAUGGUAAACGCU